GAUGAGUGUUUUGGAACACACACCAAUUCACGCUUUUUUGUCCAUCCUUUAAACAAGUCUGCUGUUCUAGCUUUCUUCAGGGUGAUGAGUGUUUUGGAACACACACCAAUUCACGCUUUUUCGUCCAUCCUUUAAACAAGUCUGCUGUUCUAGCUUUCUUCAGGGUGAUGAGUGUUUUGGAACACACACCAAUUCACGUUUUUUUGUCCAUCCUUUAANN
rnacentral:lncRNA from 1 species